rnacentral:rRNA from 1 species
UGGGGAAUAUUGCACAAUGGGCGCAAGCCUGAUGCAGCCAUGCCGCGUGUGUGAAGAAGGCCUUCGGGUUGUAAAGCACUUUCAGCGGGGAGGAAGGCGUUAAGGUUAAUAACCUUGGCGAUUGACGUUACCCGCAGAAGAAGCACCGGCUAACUCCGUGCCAGCAGCCGCGGUAAUACGGAGGGUGCAAGCGUUAAUCGGAAUUACUGGGCGUAAAGCGCACGCAGGCGGUCUGUCAAGUCGGAUGUGAAAUCCCCGGGCUCAACCUGGGAACGGCAUUCGAAACUGGCAGGCUAGAGUCGUGUAGAGGGGGGUAGAAUUCCAGGUGUAGCGGUGAAAUGCGUAGAGAUCUGGAGGAAUACCGGUGGCGAAGGCGGCCCCCUGGACAAAGACUGACGCUCAGGUGCGAAAGCGUGGGGAGCAAACAGG